rnacentral:rRNA from 1 species
UACGAAGGGGGCUAGCGUUGUUCGGAAUCACCGGGCGUAAAGGGCGUGUAGGCGGGCCGGUAAGUCGUGCGUGAAAUCCCUGGGCUCAACCCAGGAACUGCACUCGAAACUACUUUUCUUGAGUGCCGGAGAGGAAAGCGGAAUUCCUGGUGUAGAGGUGAAAUUCGUAGAUAUCAGGAGGAACACCAGUGGCGAAGGCGGCUUUCUGGACGGUAACUGACGCUGAGACGCGAAAGCGUGGGGAGCAAACAGG